rnacentral:rRNA from 1 species
UAGGGGGCAAGCGUUAUCCGGAUUUACUGGGUGUAAAGGGAGCGUAGACGGUGAAGCAAGUCUGAAGUGAAAGCCCGCGGCUUAACUGCGGGACUGCUUUGGAAACUGUUUGACUAGAGUGCUGGAGAGGUAAGUGGAAUUCCUAGUGUAGCGGUGAAAUGCGUAGAUAUUAGGAGGAACACGAGUGGCGAAGGCGGCUUACUGGACAGUAACUGACGUUGAGGCUCGAAAGCGUGGGGAGCA